AUUGAACGCUGGCGGCAGGCUUAACACAUGCAAGUCGAACGAGUGGCGGACGGGUGAGUAAUGCGUGGGAAUCUAGCUGAUGGAGGGGGAUAACUCCGGGAAAAGGUAGCUAAUACCGCGUACCAUAGGAUGAGCACAAGUGGGAUUAGGUAGUUGGUGAGGUAAAGGCUCACAAAGCCGACGAUCUCUAGCUGGUCUGAGAGGAUGACCAGCCACACGGGGACUGAGAAACGGCCCAGACGCUUACGGGAGGCAGCAGUGGGGAAUAUUGCGCAAUGGGGGCAACCUGACGCAGCCAGGCCGCUUGAAUGAAGAAGGCGUUCGGGUUGUAAAGUUCUUUCGGGAGCGAGGCGUUAACUACAGAAGAAGCAGCGGCUAACGCCGUGCCAGCAGCCGCGGGAAUUC
rnacentral:rRNA from 1 species